UACGUAGGGGGCAAGCGUUGUCCGGAUUUAUUGGGCGUAAAGAGCGUGUAGGCGGCCUGACAGGUCUGCUGUGAAAACUCGAGGCUCAACCUCGAGAUGUCGGCGGAAACCGUCUGGCUAGAGUCCGGAAGAGGAGAGUGGAAUUCCUGGUGUAGCGGUGAAAUGCGCAGAUAUCAGGAAGAACACCUAUGGCGAAGGCAGUUCUCUGGGCCGUAACUGACGCUGAGGAGCGAAAGCGUGGGGAGCGAACAGG
rnacentral:rRNA from 1 species